rnacentral:rRNA from 1 species
GACGAACGCUGGCGGCGUGCUUAACACAUGCAAGUCGAACGGAAAGGCCCUGCUUUUGUGGGGUGCUCGAGUGGCGAACGGGUGAGUAACACGUGAGUAACCUGCCCUUGACUUUGGGAUAACUUCAGGAAACUGGGGCUAAUACCGGAUAGGAGCUCCUGCUGCAUGGUGGGGGUUGGAAAGUUUCGGCGGGUGGGGAUGGACUCGCGGCUUAUCAGCUUGUUGGUGGGGUAGUGGCUUACCCAGCGUUUGACGGGUAGCCGGCCUGAGAGGGUGACCGGGGACAUGGGGACUGAGAGAGGGCCCAGACGCCUACGGUGGGCAGCAGUGGGGAAUAUUGCACAAUGGGCGGAAGCCGGAUGCAGCAACGCCGCGUGCGGGAUGACGGCCUUCGGGGUGUAAACCGCUGUCGCCUGUGACGAAGCGGGAGUGACGGUAAUGGGUAAAGAAGCACCGGCUAACUACGUG